UACGGGGGGAGCAAGCGUUGUUCGGAUUUACUGGGCGUAAAGGGCGCGUAGGCGGCCAGCACAAGUCAGUUGUGAAAUCUCCGAGCUUAACUCGGAAAGGUCAACUGAUACUGUGCGGCUAGAGUGCGGAAGGGGCAACUGGAAUUCUUGGUGUAGCGGUGAAAUGCGUAGAUAUCAGGAGGAACACCUAUAGCGAAGGCAGCUUGCUGGGACGAUACUGACGCUAAGGCUCGAAAGCGUGGGGAGCGAACAGG
rnacentral:rRNA from 1 species